rnacentral:rRNA from 1 species
UACGAGAGGCCCAAACGUUAUUCGGAAUUACUGGGCUUAAAGAGUUCGUAGGCGGCGCAGAAAGUAGGGUGUGAAAGCCCUCGGCUUAACCGAGGAAUUGCGCUCUAAACUACUGUGCUCGAGGAAUCUAGAGGUGAGCGGAACUGAUGGUGGAGCGGUGAAAUGCGUUGAUAUCAUCAGGAACACCGGAGGCGAAGGCGGCUCACUGGGGAUUUUCUGACGCUGAGGAACGAAAGCCAGGGGAGCGAACGGG